AUUGAACGCUGGCGGCAGGCUUAACACAUGCAAGUCGAACGAGUGGCGGACGGGUGAGUAAUGCUUGGGAAUCUAGCUUAUGGAGGGGGAUAACUACGGGAAACUGUAGCUAAUACCGCGUACCAUAGGAUGAGCCCAAGUGGGAUUAUGUAGUUGGUUAGGUAAAGGCUCACCAAGCCGACGAUCUCUAGCUGGUCUGAGAGGAUGAACAGCCACACGGGGACUGAGACACGGCCAAGACUCCUACGGGAGGCAGCAGUGGGGAAUAUUGCGCAAUGGGGGCAACCUGACGCAGCAAUGCCGCGUGAAUGAAGAAGGCCUUCGGGUUGUAAAGUUCUUUCGGUAGCGAGGCGUUAACUACAGAAGAAGCACCGGCUAACUCCGUGCCAGCAGCCGCGGUAAUUC
rnacentral:rRNA from 1 species